AUGAAUGAUGAAAGACUCGCAGGAGGAAAAGGAUACUCUUGUGGUUUCAAGGCAGCUCUUGGAAAGGAGCUGAACCAAGAAGAGCAUGCCACUCCAGACUGGGCUGAACAAGCUCCUACCUCCUCCAACACCAGGAAGCAAGUCCCAACCUCGCAGGAAGGAAGUGCUAGUCACAAGACCCAACUGCCACUCCCAGUUGCCCCUUCCCCCACAAACUGUCACAAAUUCUAUUCUCAUAAUUCUUUUGAGCCACUCAAGAAGAAUGUUUUAGGAAUCCUUAUUCUUUUAAAAUUCAAGAGUCCUCUGUGUCAUCAAAGAGAUCUUUUGCACCACAGAAUGCUGUUGGGGAAUUAUCCCCUGAAGAUUCGGCAAAAUCCCAAAGCCUAUAACUUGUGUCUCCAUAGCAUUGAAAAGAAAGAGGGAGGAAGAGGAUUCUGGGUUCAUUUAUGCAGCAAGCAAAACACUUCUUGGUUGUGUCCCUGAGUUGGCUGGUAGAACAUUGCUGCCAGUAGUAUUUGGUGACUUGGAAGGGGGUGUUGAAUGAGUUUGAGAUGGGCAUCAGUUCAUGAUCUUUUCAAUAUUCCUGAUGUCCUCAACCAUAGAGACAGUUAAAGAUGCUGUGUAUUUGGUGCAUAAUUUUGUUUUGGAAAGUUUUAAAAGGUUGUAAGCAUCACAACAUAUAUGAGAAUGUCUAGUCAUCCAUUUUAUUGUCUAACUUUUGAAACUUUUUCAGAUGGAUUAUUAUGACUCCCCCAAUGUUGUACCAUGAGUCUACAUAUAAUUCUUAACAUUUAUUCUUAUUGAAUUUCCUCUAAUUAGAUUCAGGCCAAUAUGAACUAAUGUGGAUCUAAACUCUUUCAUCCAUUGUGUUCGUUCUGUCUCAGCUUUGUGUCAUUUGUAAAUUUACUGAGCACGUCAUCAAUACCUUUAACCAGGUGCAGAAUAAAAGUGCUAAAUAGCACUAAUUCCUGGACCA
rnacentral:lncRNA from 1 species